UGGGGAAUAUUGGACAAUGGGCGAAAGCCUGAUCCAGCCAUGCCGCGUGUGUGAAGAAGGUCUUCGGAUUGUAAAGCCCUUUAAGUUGGGAGGAAGGGCAGUAAGCGAAUACCUUGCUGUUUUGACGUUACCGACAGAAUAAGCACCGGCUAACUCUGUGCCAGCAGCCGCGGUAAUACAGAGGGUGCAAGCGUUAAUCGGAAUUACUGGGCGUAAAGCGCGCGUAGGUGGUUCGUUAAGUUGAAUGUGAAAGCCCCGGGCUCAACCUGGGAACUGCAUCCAAGACUGGCGAACUAGAGUAGGGGAGAGGGUGGUGGAAUUUCCUGUGUAGCGGUGAAAUGGGUAAGUAUAGGAAGGAACAACAGUGGGGAAGGGGACCACCUGGGCUCAUACUGACACUGAGGUGCGAAAGCGUGGGGAGCAAACAGG
rnacentral:rRNA from 1 species